rnacentral:lncRNA from 1 species
UUGUCUCCAGUAAUAUAGCAGUAGGAAUGAUCUUAUCUCAGACCAUAGUUAAAUAGUUGGAUUUUUUUUCUUCCUUGACAUCAGAUUUUCUUUAAUUACCAGAUGCACAUUGUGAUACACAGAUUUGACUCUCAAGCACCUAUGGCCAACUCCUUGGUACUCUCCAAAAAGGUCCCUUAGACAAUGACUGAUUUGGAGUUGAAAUAUUUUUUCAGUAAUAUUAGAUAGAAAGUUGUUUUCUGUAUUCACAGAGUGGCCACAGCAUGUGCAUUGGCACCAUCUGCCUCUUGAGUAUCUCCCAGGUCAUCACCAUCAGCCCCCAAAACCUCAGGUGAACGUAGCUUAAACUACAUGCUUCCAAAUAUAUUUGAAUCUCUAAUAUCCAAAUUAUGUGCUGAAUUCUGAAUAGGCUUGUAAAUGUCAUUUUUUCCUGUGUAUGUUACUGGUAAGUGGAACACCAUAAAGAACACAAAGAUUAUUUUAAACACUGUUCUGGAGUAGUUAAUAACAGAAUUCCACAUUUAUGACAUGUCAUGUUUUUAUCAUUUUUUAGUGUUUUGUGUUUGGAAAUUAUAACCUGGGCCAACAGCUCCAUGACCUUUAUUCUGUUCAACACAAGUGGUGGGUCCAACAUAUUCAUAGGUCCAACACCACUCCUAAAUUCUCACAUGAGUCCAGAGUCACCCAAAGCAUCUUUGUCCUAAAGGAGCACCUUUGUAUCAUUUUACACUCUCUCCUACAUCUUUUCAGUAUAUAUGGUUAUUUUGUAUAAUUCAAAUUGUUGGCUUAUGAACAACUCUAAACUGAUUACCGCUUGUUUUUUUCUAUAGUCAGGCCCAUUGUUCUCCUAAGCCAUGACCCCAGGAUAAACAGUAUAACCUCUUCAUGCUGUGGAAGGAAUAUACAGUUUCCUAAGAUAAUCAGAUAG